UUGUAAUGUGAGCAGCCUGGGUGCGUCAGUGCAGGUAAGUGACAUGAAAAUGUUCGCCGUGGAGGGUGAGAGCCCCGUCCAGCCUGCACAGGGCGUGCCGUACAGGGCUGUCUCGAAUGAGUCGGGUAGCUUGGGAAUGCUGCUCUAAGAUCGGUGGUAAAUUUCAUCGAAGGCUAAAUACUGCUGGAAGACCGAUAGUGAACAAGUACCGUGAGGGAAAGAUGAAAAGCACUUUGAAAAGAGGGUGAAAAGAAUCUGAAACCGUUGUGAGGGAAGCGGAUUGCGUUGCAGUAACUGUGGGCGCCGGUGUGUUCAGCCUGUUUCGGCGGGUGUAGUGGCACCGGUGGCUCCGUCUGCUGUGGGUUUGUGGUGGCUGAUUGCAAGGCUGCUGCGGACUGAGGGCUCCGUGCUGCUUUGCGGCGGCACGUGAGGACGGCAGGGUGAUGACGCGAUACGACCCGUCUUGAAACACGGACCAAGGAGUCUAGCACAGCUGCGAGUCUGAGGGUGUCAAAGCCUGUGGGCGAAGUGAAAGCGAAAGAUGGCGGUAAUUCCAUAAUUUCAGAAUGACAAAGUUGUUGCAAUUUGGGG
rnacentral:rRNA from 1 species